UCCUUGGUGGCUCAGAUGGUAAAGCAUCUGCCUGCAAUGUGGGAGACCCGGGUUCGAUCCCUGGGUUGGGAA
rnacentral:tRNA from 1 species